AAACCAGGUCUAAUAUUCAAAAUAUACUGUAAUGACGAUGUUACAGUCUACUACAGUAGGGGGCGACUUGCACCUUUAGUCUAACCACAGUAAACGUAAAGACGAGGAAGUAAAGUUGCCCAUGAGCAGUCACGUAAUUUCCUGCAACCUGUGGAGGUAACUGUCGCGGAGGUCCGCCAUUGCGUCUGCAUCUGCUUUUGUUUCUCACAGCGAUGCAGCCAUAGACUGGAUGCCAGUUAAAGAGUACAACUGGGAACGGUUUACAGCUGGGCUGCCCUCUGUGUCCCAAAUUCACCACCACACGUGCAAAGACCAUGUGCAGACAUCUGGAGUCCCACAUCAAAAAUGCAGCAUAUUUCCAAGAUACAAACAUUUGCAGAUGCAACCUGCCUUGCCGAGACACAGGUCAUUACCACUGUCCACACUGUGAGAAAACAAUCAUGCGCAAAGAGGAUAUGACAUUACACGUAACUGGAUGUCGAAACACAUGUGAUACAGUGCCACCUUCGGCAGAAAUCGGGGCACCUGCAUCAUCGUCAUCAUCCUUUUUCACUCCCCGUGCUCCCCAGCAGAGGUCAGCACAGCCUCCUUUGGAGUGUCCCUUUCCCCCAUCAGCUGGAGAGGACACUGUAAUGUCAGACCAUUGUUACACACUUGUGUCACCUGUUGACACUCCGCAAACCUGUCAGCCAAACUCAGCUCCCCCUCCAGCCGCCUGUCUGUCUGUCUGUCUGAAGCCGCAUAGCUGCUCUCUUCACGUGUGAUGUAUUUAAAGUCAGUUAAGUGCCCUCACUGCGCCGUCGUUCUCUACAAAAAAAACUUAUUGGUGCACAUACAAAGAAAAAAUGGAAACCAACCAGACAUUAUAGUUGCAUGUCAUAGUAAAAGCAAAAGUGUUAGUAAAGCUUAUGGCCUCUUUGACUUCCCAAAAGGCAUUCAUGUGUGACUUGGAGGACUGAGCUGCCUCAAACAACAGUGGGGGCUGUACAGUGGAUCAUUGACAGUAUGUGGAGAAAAACACAGUAGAAAAUUUGCUGACACAUGUGUAUUCCACACUGAAUUGAUUAUAUUUUGGUCUUUAUAUUAUAAUUUCUUGUUCAGAGGGAAUUCAACAUAUUUUUUGCACUUUAUUAAAGGAGCUUUGUUUGGUUCACAGUUCCACAUCAUUUUAGGUCUCCUCUGCCUCCAUUUAACCUCUUCUGAUUGGUUGCCUAUCACAAGCAUAAGGUUUGAACAGCAGCUGGAUGGAGCUUCUUUGUGGCUGAGAUGAUCAUAUUUGGAUAUCCACUCUCACUGGCAUCAUACAGAUCCAAAAGUAUAGAAGACUGCCGGAAACUGAGUGUUCAAGUGAAUUUUUUGGUGGUCAAAGAUCACAAAAUUUUGACAAUACCUGAAAUAUUGAUCUACCAAGUCUUAUAAAAUUUCGCUUAAUUUGUCAAUUUGUCAAUAUUCAGAAUAGAAAAAAAAAACAUUCUGGAAAAUUUUCAGCCUUAUGUCUCAGGAACAGGUGGUCAAAUUUUGAGAGUGUGUUGGUUUAGGCCGAGGCAGAAGUCCUAAAAGCGACGCGCAUUAAAUCCUAACAGCAGCAUUUUAACUCUGUGGUACAGAGCAUCAGUGACGCUGGCCUGUGCGUAUCUUUGUAGUUGCAAUCAUGUAUUUGCAGUUUCCCUUUCAGAGCAGGAGAGCCACAAUACAAGGGGCAUCAAGUGGCAGAGAAAAGGACACUAAAGAAACUGCUGGACAUUAUGGACAAUGCUGGGCAUCCACUGCACACGGCCAUAAACAACCAGAGGAGUCUGUUCAGUGACAGGUUGCUUCUCCCAAAUU